rnacentral:rRNA from 1 species
UACGGAGGGGGCUAGCGUUGUCCGGAAUCAUUGGGCGUAAAGCGCGUGUAGGCGGUCCGGUAAGUCCGCUGUGAAAGUCGGGGGCUCAACCCUCGGAUGCCGGUGGAUACUGUCGGGCUUGAGUACGGAAGAGGCGAGUGGAAUUCCUGGUGUAGCGGUGAAAUGCGCAGAUAUCAGGAGGAACACCAGUGGCGAAGGCGGGUCUCUGGGCCGAUACUGACGCUGAGGAGCGAAAGCGUGGGGAGCGAACAGG